CUGGAGUACUUAAUCCCUUUACAUUCAAAGUACUUGUUGAUAGGUAUGUACUACUGCGGUUUUGUUACUUGUUUUAUGAUGGUUUUGUAGUUCUUCUGUUUCUUUUCUUGCUGUCUUCUCUCACAGUUGGCUGGUUUUCUUUAGUGAUAUAAUUGGAUUCCUUUCUCUUUAUUAUUUGCAUAUUAUUGGUUUUUGAUUUUUGGUUACCAUUUAGUUUAUAUAUGGCAUUUUAUUAAUAGCGGUUGGUAUUAGGUUGAUGGUCACUUAAGUUUAAAUCCAUUCUUUAUUCCACUCAUCCUCACUUUUAGGUAUAUGGUGUCACAUUUUACAUCCUUUAUUUUAUGAAUGCCUUAACUUAUUUUUAUAGAUAUAAUUAAGUUUACUACUCUUGUGUUUCCUACUUUUCUUAGUCCUACUUAUGGUUUUCCUGUCUACUCACCUGUCCCCUUUAACAUUUCUGGUAGGGCUGGGUUAGUGGUGACAAACUCCUUUAACUUCUGUUUGUGUAGGAAACUCUUCUCCUUCCACUUUAUUUUUUUCCUUCUGAUAGCUCUGUAUUUUUCAAUGAUAGCCUUGGUGCAUAGAGUAUUCUUGGUUGUAUGUUUUUCCUUUCAGCAUUUUGAAUAUAUCAUUUUACUCCCUUUUAGCCUUCAAAGUUUCCACUGAAAAAUUAGUGGGAAGUUAAUGAAAUUUCCCUUGUAUGUAAUGGUUUUCAUUUGUUGAUUUUAAAAUUCUUUGCCAUUUUAAUUACUAUGUAUCUUGGUAUGGACCUCCUUGGAUUGAUAUUGUUGACAGUUGUUUGUCCCUCCUGGAUCUAUACUUCUAUUUCCUUCCCCAGGUUCAGGAAUUUUCAGCUGUUAUUUAUUCAAACAAAUUUUCUGUCUUACCAUUCUAGGUUUCCUCUAGCAUGAAUGUCACUGUGCUUGAUGGUGUUGUGAGUUCCCUAAGUCUACUCAUUAUUAUUGCUUUCCAUUGUUCUAUCCUCCAGAUCAUGAUCCAGUCUUCUGCUUGUGCUUCCUCAAGUCUACUGGCCAUUCCAUCUACUGUAUUUUUAAUUUCAUUUAUUGAAAUUAAAUGAUUUUUUUGUUUGUUUGUUUUCUGUUUGUUAUGGGUCUCACAGAGAUUGUCCACUCUUUUCUCAAGUCUCAUGAGUAUCCAUAUGACCAUUACUUUAAAUUCUCUACUAGAUAUAUUAUCUUCAUUUUGGUUACAACUCAUGCUCUGAUUUUGUCCUUUCAUUUGGCAUAUAUCCUCUGUCUCCUCAUUUUGUCUAACUCUGUUUCUGUGGGUUAGGAAAGGGAAAGUCAGCUACAUUUCAUGUACUUGAAAGUAGUGGCCUUAUGAAGAAGAGGUCCUAAAAUGCCCUACAGUGCAAUGUCUCCUGUUCAUAAGAACCUGGAGCUACACGGUUGUCUCCUAUAUGUAUUGUGUGUACCUUAAUCUGGCCUUUAGUCCACAUUCACCUGUUAUGGUCAGGGUUUGGUUCCUGGUGCCACCUUGACUUGUUUACCAAAGGUGCAGUAGCAUUGAACUGCAGGGCAUUUUCCCUGUUGUCCCCUGAGAAGCUGUUCUUGGUGGGUGGUGCCUGCAGUCAAAUGAAGUAUUUGUCCCCAGUCCACCCUGAGGCCCCAGUUGGAUGGGUAUGUUUUGCUAUCCUCCCUUCUCUCUGGGGUAGGAGUCACUUUGGAGUGGUGCUGGUCCCUGCCAGGGUUGCUUGCACAUUGCAGGUCUUGUAGCACUGCUCUAGGAUGGGUUCCAGAAAAGGGGAUAUUGGAGAGGGAAAGUCUAUAGGAGAGUGUCAGGGUGGAACAUGCAGUGUUAGCAAGGUUUGGACAGGUCUUCUGUGGGAGGAGACCUGGAAACAAGGCCUGGAUGGAGGCAGUGUGUCUGCAGCAUACUGUAGGGAUAGAAUGUUUCUACCAAGUUAGGUAGCAUGUGUUGGUGUAGUCCUGGUUUCUGCAGGUGUGUAUGGGUCUAGAGUGGGAGACAGAGGAGAGGAAUGGUGCUUGCCAGCUCCUUUGUUCCUGGAGAAGUCUCCCAAGGAUCCCUGUCCCUCCAGUACAUGCUCUGAGGUGAAUGGGAUUCAAAUCAGAGACUUCGGGAGGAGGUGGAUGAAAGUUCUUUCUCUCUUCCAUGGUCUACUCCAUGAUCCUGGAACAGUGACUUAGUCAUCAUACUAAAAAGAACCAGUCACGCCUCCUCAGCAGUUCUUUCCAGCCCCAAAAGAAUUGUGUUUUGUUCUUCAGGUCCUGAGGGACAGAAUGCCUCAUGAAGACAUUCUUCUUACUUCUUGGAAAAUCAAUUAAUAAAGCAAUAGACUACAUAACUGGUAUCUGUGGGGAUUAUAAGAACAGCGUGAAACAGCCUCAAGGGACUUCAGGUUGACAAGGAACAGAGCUUGGCACUCAGCACAGGAGAGCAGUAGAAAUAGAUCUGCACUUGGAAUCAGAACACCUGGGUUUGGCCAUGCUCUGGGAUCUUGAGCCUUUUACUUAAUUUUUCAGACUUUAUUCCCUUGCUUGUCAAAUAGAGCUAAUAGUGCAGCUGCAGUCAAGAUUAAGUAAGAGAAUGAACGUCAAAGAAGCUUACCACUUGCACAAUAAUAUCCGAGUACAUGCUACAAUGAAGAAAUAGUGUUUAUAUUUAAUACAAAGUGAUGGGCAUUGAAGAGAACAUUGGAGGUAUACAGACCUGGAUUCAUACGUCUUUACUAGUUGUCUGGUUUCAGGCAAGGUACUUGACACCUAUGAUUCUCAGUUUCUUAAUCUGUAUAAUGGGUACAGAUGGAGCAUGGUAGAGCUCCUAGGAAAAUUGGUGGCAAAGGACAGAAAGCAUGAAGUGGAGUAGCUGGCAUAAAGUAAGCACUGAAGAAGUAAAAGAUUUCAUUUUGUGAUUAAUAUGGCUUAACGAUAGAGACUGUGUAUAACUUGGUGCUUAAUUUUGUUUGCUUAUAGCCUGUGGGUAGUGUACAAAUUCAGAGAAGAGAAAUAUGAACUAUAUUUGGGGUCUCGUUAAAAAGACUUCAUGGAAGAAGGGUGAUUUGAGAUAGACCUGGAAAGAUGAGUAAGCUUUGCUUAGGUGGAAUAACCAGUAGCGUUUACCCAAAUUGGUUCUCUGGGUGUAGACAGCA